UUUCAAGGAGAUUUCGAAGAAGCUGACAAUGGCGACUCUGAGCCCGAGUUGAGCUAUUCAGAGGAUGAGAGAAAUUUCACCAAUGUAUAAAUCCUUACGAGGACAAUGUGGAAGCUGACAAGGUGGGCCACCAACAGAGUGGAAGGAGGAGGAUAAGAGGAAGGCCGUCUCAGCCUGACCAACCACAGAUAUCCCCUCCGGGACCAGGAAGAAUACCCCAUUCUGGUGCAAGCAAAUGGAGGCUACAAAGAAGAAAAUCCUUGUAGCAGUUUUAAUAGAUGGCAGAGAUCUGCAAGAAAGUUUACGAACUCCACAAUGUUGCAGAAUUAAUUGAUGCGAUAAUAA